rnacentral:rRNA from 1 species
GACGAACGCUGGCGGCGUGCUUAACACAUGCAAGUCGAACGAGUGGCGAACGGGUGAGUAACGCAUCGGAACGUACCGAGUAAUGGGGGAUAACUGUCCGAAAGGACAGCUAAUACCGCAUAUUAUUCGAGCGGCCGAUGUCUGAUUAGCUGGUUGGCGGGGUAAAGGCCCACCAAGGCGACGAUCUCUAGCUGGUCUGAGAGGAUGACCAGCCACACUGGGACUGAGACACGGCCCAGACUCCUACGGGAGGCAGCAGUGGGGAAUAUUGCGCAAUGGGGGCAACCCUGACACAGCCAUGCCGCGUGAAUGAAGAAGGCCUUCGGGUUGUAAAGUUCUUUCGGUAGCGAGGCGUUAACUACAGAAGAAGCACCGGCUAACUCCGUGCCAGCCGCCGCGGUAAUUC